rnacentral:rRNA from 1 species
UGGCUCAGGAUGAACGCUGGCGGCGUGCUUAACACAUGCAAGUCGAACGGGGUAUUGACGCUGAGGAGACUUCGGUCAAAUCAUGUUGAUACCUAGUGGCGGACGGGUGAGUAACGCGUGGGUAACCUGCCAUAUACAGGGGGAUAACACUUAGAAAUAGGUGCUAAUACCGCAUAAGCGCACAGUGUCGCAUGACACGGUGUGAAAAGCCGAGACGGUAUAUGAUGGACCCGCGUCUGAUUAGCUAGUUGGAGAGGUAACGGCUCACCAAGGCGACGAUCAGUAGCCGGCCUGAGAGGGUGAACGGCCACAUUGGGACUGAGACACGGCCCAAACUCCUACGGGAGGCAGCAGUGGGGAAUAUUGCACAAUGGGGGAAACCCUGAUGCAGCGACGCCGCGUGAGUGAAGAAGUAUUUCGGUAUGUAAAGCUCUAUCAGCAAGGAAGAACAUGACGGUACUUGACUAAGAAGCCCCGGCUAACUACGUGCC